AUACCUUUCUCGGCCUUUUGGCUAAGAUCAAGUGUAGUAUCUGUUCUUAUAAGUUUAAUAUCUGAUACGUGGGUCAUUGACCCACAAUUUACUUGCUAUUGGGAUCCUCAAGCGUCGUUCAUGCAUUGCGCUACUGUAUGGGCCUGGCGUACCCCAC
rfam:Beta vulgaris subsp. vulgaris Bvchr7.sca021.con0254.1, whole genome shotgun sequence.